rnacentral:lncRNA from 1 species
AUGCCAUUCCCUUUCUUUUCCUUCCCUUUUCUUCCUCGUUUCUCUUUUCCCUUUUUUCCUCCCCCUUUUCCUUCCCUUUUCUCUUCUUUCUCCUGUUUCUCUCUUCCCUUUUAUCCCUUCUCCCCUUUUCAUUCCCUUUUCUCUUCUUCCUCUUGUUUUGCUUUUCCUUUUUUUCCUUUUCUCAUUUUCUUUCUCUUUUCUCUUCUUCCUCUUGUUUCUCUUUUCCCCUUUUUUUCCCUUCCCCUUUUCCUUCCCUUUUCUCUUCUUCCUCUUGUUUCUCUUUUCCCCUUUUUUCCCUUCCCUUUUCCUUCCCUUUUCUCUUCUUCCUCGUUUCGCUUUUCCCUUUUUUCCCUUUCCCCCUUUUCUUUCUCUUUUCUUCCUUUUGUUCCUUUUUUCCCUUUUUCCCUUUUCCCCUUUUCUUUCCCUUUUCUCUUCCUUUUGUUUCUCUUUUCCCCUUUUUUUCCCUUCCCCUUUUCCUUCCCUUUUCUCUUCUUCCUCUUGUUUCUCUUUUCUCUUCUUCCUUUUGUUUCUAUUUUCCCUUUUUUUCCCUUUCACUUUUCCUUCCCUUUUCUCUUCUUCCUCUUGUUUCUCUUUUCCCUUUUUUCCCUUCCCUUUUUCUUUCUCUUUUCUCUUCCUCCUCUUGUUUCUCUUUUCCCCUUUUUUUCCCUUCCCCUUUUCCUUCCCUUUUCUCUUCUUCUUCUUGUUUCUCUUUUCCCCUUUUUUUCCCUUCCCCUUUUCCUUCCCUUUUCUCUUCUUCCUCUUGUUUCUCUUUUCUCUUCUUCCUUUUGUUUCUAUUUUCCCUUUUUUUUCCCUUUCACUUUUCCUUCCCUUUUCUCUUCUUCCUCGUUUCGCUUUUCCCUUUUUUCCCUUUCCCCCUUUUCUUUCUCUUUUCUUCCUUUUGUUCCUUUUUUCCCUUUUUCCCUUUUCCCCUUUUCUUUCCCUUUUCUCUUCCUUUUGUUUCUCUUUUCCCCUUUUUUUCCCUUCCCCUUUUCCUUCCCUUUUCUCUUCUUCCUCUUGUUUCUCUUUUCCCUUUUUUCCCUUCCCUUUUUCUUUCUCUUUUCUCUUCUUCCUUUUGUUUCGCUUUUCCCUUUUCUUUCCCUUCCCCUUUUCCUUCCCUCCUGGGUCUGUGGUGCUGCCCUUGCUGAGCUGUCCCGCUCCCAUCCUGAUCCUGGCUAA